CCUACGGGAGGCAGCAGUGGGGAAUUUUGGACAAUGGGCGCAAGCCUGAUCCAGCAAUGCCGCGUGAGUGAAGAAGGCCUUCGGGUUGUAAAGCUCUUUUGUCAGGGAAGAAACGGUGGGAGCUAAUAUCUCCCGCUAAUGACGGUACCUGAAGAAUAAGCACCGGCUAACUACGUGCCAGCAGCCGCGGUAAUACGUAGGGUGCAAGCGUUAAUCGGAAUUACUGGGCGUAAAGCGUGCGCAGGCGGUUUUGUAAGUCUGUCGUGAAAGCCCCGGGCUCGACCUGGGAAUUGCGAUGGAGACUGCAAGGCUUGAAUCUGGCAGAGGGGGGUAGAAUUCCACGUGUAGCAGUGAAAUGCGUAGAGAUGUGGAGGAACACCGAUGGCGAAGGCAGCCCCCUGGGUCAAGAUUGACGCUCAUGCACGAAAGCGUGGGGAGCAAACAGGAUUAGAUACCCUGGUAGUCCACGCCCUAAACGAUGUCUACUAGUUGUCGGGUUUUAAUUAACUUGGUAACGCAGCUAACGCGUGAAGUAGACCGCCUGGGGAGUACGGUCGCAAGAUUAAAACUCAAAGGAUUGACGG
rnacentral:rRNA from 1 species